rnacentral:lncRNA from 1 species
AAAUUUUUAGAGAAUUCAGAGAUUAAAAAACACUCAAAUUUAGGAAAAACUGGUUGAGUAUUCAAAACACUGAAAUCCAUUAUAAUUUCUGCUGGAAAUUGGUCCAGUUUCUUGUUGGUUCUAUAAUCAGAAAGUUACAAAUGAUUUCUGGGGUUAUUUUUCGACUCUAAAAUUGGUUUUCAAGUCUGGUUGUUAUUGUUUUACUGAAUCAAAUCUGUUGUUGUUGUUCCUUCUUAAACUUCCGGCUCAUUUUCUCAUUGUGUGUUUCUAUAACCAGGUAUGCUCUGGCUUUCGUUUAGCAUGUAAGGUGCAAGUAUGAAUCCAUGUAAUUCGAGUUGAAGGAAAUGAAAAACGUUAGUUCUCUAUUGCUUGAUCAGAUAUUUGAAUGUGC